GACGUAGGACCCAAGCGUUAUCCGGAUUUAUUGGGUUUAAAGGGUGCGUAGGCGGGUUGUUAAGUCAGUGGUGAAAGCUCCGAGCCUAACUCGGAAACUGCCAUUGAUACUGACGAUCUUGAGUACAUUUGAGGUGGGCGGAAUGUGUCAUGUAGCGGUGAAAUGCUUAGAUAUGACACAGAACACCGAUUGCGAAGGCAGCUCACUAAACUGUAACUGACGCUGAGGCACGAAAGCGUGGGGAGCAAACAGG
rnacentral:rRNA from 1 species